rnacentral:rRNA from 1 species
AUUGAACGCUAGCGGGAUGCUUUACACAUGCAAGUCGAACGAGUGGCGGACGGGUGAGUAAUAUAUCUGACCGUGCCCAGUAGCGGGGGAUAACUACCCGAAAGAGGGGCUCAUACCGCAGACUAUUGGUAUGGCCGAUGUUGUCUUUGCUUGUUGGUGGGGUAAAGGCACACCAAGGCAACGAGCCGUAGCGUGGUGGAGAGGACGACAAGCCCCACUGGAACGGAGACACGGCCCAGACUCCUACGGGAGGCAGAAGUGGGGAAUUUUGGACAAGGGGGUAAACCCUGAUCCAGCCAUCCCGCGUGUAUGAGAAGGCCUUCGGGUUGUAGAGUAAUUUUGGCAGAGAAGCGGUAUCUGAAGAAUAAGCACCGGCUAACUACGUGCCAGCAGCCGCGGUAAUAG